AACGAACGCUGGCGGCAUGCCUAACACAUGCAAGUCGAACGAACCCUUCGGGGUUAGUGGCGCACGGGUGCGUAACGCGUGGGAAUCUGCCCUUUGCUUCGGAAUAACACAGAGAAAUUUGUGCUAAUACCGGAUAAUGUCGCAAGACCAAAGAUUUAUCGGCAAAGGAUGAGCCCGCGUAAGAUUAGCUAGUUGGUGGGGUAAUGGCCUACCAAGGCGACGAUCUUUAGCUGGUCUGAGAGGAUGAUCAGCCACACUGGGACUGAGACACGGCCCAGACUCCUACGGGAGGCAGCAGUGGGGAAUAUUGGACAAUGGGCGAAAGCCUGAUCCAGCAAUGCCGCGUGAGUGAUGAAGGCCUCGGUUGUAAGAC
rnacentral:rRNA from 1 species